UACCAGCACCUCGAGUGGUCAGGACGUUUAUUGGGCCUAAAGCAUCCGUAGCCGGCUUUGCAAGUCUUCGGUUAAAUCCACCUGCUCAACAGAUGGGCUGCUGGAGAUACUACAAAGCUAGGGAGUGGGAGAGGCAGACGGUAUUCAGUGGGUAGGGGUAAAAUCCUCUGAUCCAUUGAGGACCACCAGUGGCGAAGGCGGUCUGCCAGAACACGUUCGACGGUGAGAGAUGAAAGCUGGGGGAGCAAACCGG
rnacentral:rRNA from 1 species